GGCCGCUUACUCCUCGUCCUCAGCCUCGUUGUCGGCAAUGUUGAAGUACCGGAGCUCGUAGACGUUGCGGUCCUUGUUGGAAGCAAUGACGCGCAGCCAGUCGCGCACGUUGUGCUUCUUCAGGUACUUCUUGGUGAGGUACUUCAGGUAGCGCUUGCUCAGCUGGGACUCAGCAGUCACGGUGACCUUGGUCUUCUCCUUGGCCACCUUGAUAGAGUCGCCCAGCACGCCGGUCUUGCCGUCCACCUUGAUCUUGUCCAUCAGGAACUUCUCAAACGAGGAGAUGUCCAUAAUCUUGUCCUCCACCGGCUUGGAGCAGUCGAUGGUGAAGACCAGGGCCUUCUUCUUCGCCGCGCCCUUGGCGGCCGGCUUCUUAACACCCACGGCCAUUUUUUUGAGCUAGCGGCCUAAA
rnacentral:lncRNA from 1 species